GACGAACGCUGGCGGCGUGCUUAAUACAUGCAAGUCGAACGGAAAGGCCCUGCUUUUGUGGGGUGCUCGAGUGGCGAACGGGUGAGUAACACGUGAGUAACCUGCCCUUGACUUUGGGAUAACUUCAGGAAACUGGGGCUAAUACCGGAUAGGAGCUCCUGCUGCAUGGUGGGGGUUGGAAAGUUUCGGCGGUUGGGGAUGGACUCGCGGCUUAUCAGCUUGUUGGUGGGGUAGUGGCUUACCAAGGCUUUGACGGGUAGCCGGCCUGAGCGGGUGACCGGCCACAUUGGGACUGCGAUACGGCCCAGACUCCUACGGGAGGCAGCAGUGGGGAAUAUUGCACAAUGGGCGGAAGCCUGAUGCAGCAACGCCGCGUGCGGGAUGACGGCCUUCGGGUUGUAGACCGCUUUCGCCUGUGACGAAGCGUGAGUGACGGUAAUGGGUAAAGAAGCACCGGCUAACUACGUG
rnacentral:rRNA from 1 species